GAUAUUGUGGCUGGCAGCAUUUAGAAGAGUCCAGGACAGUACAAGUAAUGCUGUGGCCAUGUACAGGGGAACCCUGAACUGCCAUGGUGGUCUGCAUCAA